rnacentral:misc_RNA from 1 species
GAUGAAGAACGUAGCGAAAUGCGAUACGUAAUGUGAAUUGCAGAAUUCAGUGAAUCAUCGAAUCUUUGAACGCACAUUGCGCCCGCCAGCAUUCUGGCGGGCAUGCCUGUUCGAGCGUCAUUUCAACCCUCGAGCCCCCCCGGGGGCCUCGGUGUUGGGGGACGGCACACCAGCCGCCCCCGAAAUGCAGUGGCGACCCCGCCGCAGCCUCCCCUGCGUAGUAGCACACACCUCGCACCGGAGCGCGGAGGCGGUCACGCCGUAAAACGCCCAACUCACGAAAUGUUGACCUCGGAUCAGGUAGGAAUACCCGCUGAACUUAAGCAUAUCAAUAAGCGGAGGA